rnacentral:lncRNA from 1 species
UAAGGGAUAUCUACGUUGCGUCUUGGUUUGGUUGUAUUCUAUUAUUUGACAGCUUCUCUCUUCUUCCUCUUCCCCUUCUCUCUUUUCUUCUGGACUUGUACGAAUAAAUAAUAGCAAUUCGCAUCAUCUCCGAUCAUCUUCACCGUUUCUCAGAUGAAACCUAUUGGAAACGCGAUCCCAGUCAAUCUCUAAGGAGGAGGGGUUUCUUAUUUGUAUCUCCAGGUAACAGGUAUUACAUCUCUAUUCACCUUCCUGAGCUCGCCUUUUUUUUAUUUUGUUUAUUUGUUUGUUUCAUAACACGUCUCUGGUUUAGAUUUUGCAUAUUCCUGCUAUCUAUCUUUACAACAUGAAUACCUUCAGAAUCUUCAAGCUCGUAGGGCACAAAACUGCUGGUGUAGAAGAAUCUCAUAUAUUCUCAAGUUUGCGAUGGAUUCGAUUCAGUAAUCUAACAUCCUAGAUCGGAGAUUAAUGGAAUCGGCUGCAAUUAGCCAGCCUUGUUGGGUAAGUGUUUUCUCUAGCUCUCUCUUUUCUGUUUUUCCUUUGACGAUGAUUAGCUUUUAAGGCUGCUAUGAAUGGAUGCAUCUCAUCUCACUAGCUUUUUUGUUUGAUAAUUAGCUGCAUCAUCUCUAAAUGUGCUUCUCCUUCCGUGGUAAAAAGAUAUCUUGUUUUUGGUAUGCAUAUCAGAUUUGGUUGUGCAAUGUAAUAUAUACAUUACAUGUUUGAGUCAAGGCUGUUGCUACUUUAAGGCUUUAAGCAUCCCAUCUCACCUGCACUUGAAGGCAAAUUGCCAAAUUCCGUUGCUGCUACAUACACAAUACAACUUAUUGUACGCAUUUUCAUGGCAGGUCUAGUCAUCUCUUGGAGGUAAAAAAAACUCAGCAACAUUUACAUGGUCAAUCAUUGUCACAGGUUACCCUCUCUAAACAACAUGUGGUUACAACCAAAAAAUCCUAGGCGUUCCAAAUCCCUAACAACUUAAUUUUUUCUUACAUUUUAGUGACAACAAUUUAGAGGAAGGCUCCCUUUCCUCUUCUUAGCAAUCUCUUACGAGCACAACUGUUUCUUCUUAAAUCCAGAGUCCUUGACGACCAAAUCCUGAGUAUAUCAGACAGACAGACAGACAGAGUAUUUCUCUCAUCCCUGUGGCAUUGGAUGAUCAUGCGAAUAUGGUGGAUCUCCAUCUGAUGAGUUACAAGCAGAUAAAUCAAUUAUAUUGAUUCAAGAAGAAUGACCCAUAUUUCAACCUAUUCAUGUAUUUACAGGUUCCAAAACUAUUUAAGCUGAGAAAGUGUCUUAUUAUUAUUUCUAGAAUUAAGUUGGAAAUGACUAUUGAGAUAUUAUCAUCAGGGCACAAAAAUUCAAUGGUUAUUAUUCUGAGGUUGCAAACGAAACGUAGCCUGCUUUUGUUAUGAUUACCGAGUUCGCCAUCAGAAGUAUCAGCA